GCCGUUCAUGGGGGGAGGGGGGAAUGUCACCCAGAACCCUAGACUCUGGGGAGAGAGACAGUCAUUCACCAUCAGCCUUAUGGACUUGUCAAGGUCUGGGGAGAGGCCGAGUGGGAAUGGAAAAAAAGCUAAAAGUUACAGAGAAUGGGGUGAAGUGCUGUGCAUCAUAAAGGCCUGUUAACUGCAGUCUUGGUGUUUACAGGUGUGUAAAGGAGCAGCCCCUUGUUUUGCUAUUUUCAUUUCCACACAUAAGCCUAGAUUUCGCAGUCAACUCUGCCUUGGUGCGACCCUCUUGCAGUCAGUAAGGCUUCUCUCUGAGGCUGGGUUCUACCUGUGGGAAGUCAAUUGCAUGAUGGAGGCCCUACUGUGACUCACAAGGUGCUUUCCAGAGCUUGUCUACCGAGAUAAUGAAUUUUAAUAAAUGUGCACUUGCACUACAUAUCUUUGUGAAACUUGGUUAAAGUAAACAAAACUAAUCUGGAAUUCUGAGUGAACUCCAUCAGGUAUGCUGAUUAAACUGUAAGCUACUUGAAGCAGAAAUGCAGGCCCAGAUAUUUUUCAUUUGAUUUCAUCCAGAAGAUGAAAGAUAUGCUGUUUAGGAAUCUUGUUUUAACUGACCAUUUCAGAGUUUUUCUGGUGUAGCCCAAGAACCUUCAGGUGAUGUAAAAUGUAGUAUUUAAUUCCUAUGCUAAUUACCUCCAACACAAACUGACAUAGGAGUGCAACAGGGGCGGCCCUAGAUUAGCUGCCAGCAACUGGUGUCCUAGGUGAACUAUGCAAUCAGCGCCCCCACCUCCAAACCCCUCAAUGAUACUGCGCCUCCAUUUGGCGCCCCGUUUAACUUGGCACUCUAGGCGACCGCCUAGUUCACCUAUAUGGACGGGCCACCCUCGGGGUGCAAGUUGGUGGGGUAGAGCACAUCAUUAUGCCACCGGAUGCACCAUAAGAAACAAGAAGGUGUAAUUUGCUAUUGGACAGUCUACUUCCCCAGCACUGAGCAAAUUCAGUGGAGAGGAGACUCUCAGCAGCAAUCUGUAAAGAUAUCUGACCUUCUUCUUGUGGUGUAUUGAAGGACUUAACCCUCAGAAUACUGGUAUGUAUGUUUUCCCCUAGCUAAUCGUUCAAACCAUAUGAGAAAUGAAACUAGAGCAGAUGUGAAUUAUAGUGAUUCUCAUUCUCAGAACUUGCAUAUGACUUAUAAAUAGUGCAUGUGUUUUAUUCUUCUUGUUGCAUUAGAAAGUUACACACACUUGCUCUUUUUUUCCCUGUUUUAUAGGGCUGUAAUUCUUAAGAUUAUGUAAAGUCUUCAGUGUAAAUCCAUUGUCCGGGCAGUACAAUAGGUGAUUUUUGUCUACAGUGCUAAUACAUAUAAUAAUAUAAUGUUUUAUGGCUCUCAUAAGCACGAAGUGUACCAAAUACUAUGUCCAAGGUAUUCUGAAAUUGCUUCGACUCAUUGUCAACUAAUGUAAAAUCACGGCUACCACUGAAUCCUGCUAGAGCCUGGAGCUGAUGUAUAAGGGCUCAAGUACAUGACUUUCAUUAUAUGUCAUGAUUGUAUACUUUUUUUUUUGCAAGCCAUACUGUUAAAUAAUAAUAAUUCCUGCCACUUACUGGCACAACUCUUGACCAGAAUCACAGUAGGUAUGAUGUUACUGCAGAUCAGCAGACCGCUGACACAAAUUUUAGGAGUCUAAAAAGGGGAAGGGUAGGAGAGGUUAAUUUGAGAUGAGUCAUGUGCUGAAUGUUCCAUUUAUGUUUAUUUAACUAAUUUCCACAAGAAAAAAAGUAACUCUUUUAAUAAAUAAAGUUGGUAUUUUUUUUUAGAAAAAAUCACCAGAGUAUUAUCUUGCAUGAACUACAAACAUUGUAUAUGUAAACAUAGAAGUAAUUAAUAAUUACACACACUGUACGUAUGGAAAUAUAUAUUUGAGUCGCUUUAUGAAUUAUCACAAUUUGGCUUUCUUUUGUGUAUACAUCACAGGCCUGAUUCUAAAUUUGAGUGUAUUUUUUUACAUUUAAAACAAAUUAGACUAUUUAUGAGAGUAAGGAUUUAUAUGUGUAAUACAGAAAGUAUGCAUAUUUUAAACACUAGUGCCUUCACACAAAAUAUUUUUUGUUGACAUUUGUUUAUUUUCUCUGGGAGAAUGACAGAUCUGCAACACAACAUAAUACCAAUCCAAAGGCCAGAGUUUCAGAGCAGACUGGAUUUCAGUGUGAUAUGGAUUUAUUGACUUUGCAGUGGGUCUAUGGCUGUUCACUAGGAUUUGCUGUACCUCUUUGGGUUAGUUGGCCUCUAAAGGCAUCAGCCAAUCACCAUCCAUACAUGAAGAUGAAAAGAUUGUACAUUGGGACGGUGGCUCCCGCCAUCCUUCUGUGUCAACAGAGACUGGACUGGUGGAAAGGGGUCUGGUGGACAGGCAUGUAUCCGCAGCAGCCUGGAAGUGGGCGCAGGCAUUGCGGACUGCCCUGAAUGCCAGAACAUUUAUUUGGUUUUCGGAUUCGUCUCUGCGCCAUUGACCCGGCACUAUCUUUUCAUCCAGCAGGGACAGCACCUUUCCGUGACUUCUACUCAUCAGUAGUUAUGAAAGGAUAGUGGGCAUGGACUUGAACUUAUUCUUUGGCUUUUCCACUGAUGCCAUCAAAGAGAAUGCUAUAGUAGCAUAACUAUGGAACCCAUUGUGGAGCUCAUUGAGCAUCAAACCAUUAUGAUGAUGAUGAUGAUGAUGAUGCAAACCUUGGCGUGCUUAAAGCUGGAGUGGAACAAGGAAGAAUCUCAGGAGGCCAUGAACAUACUCUUUUGCAAAGCAUUUGAGUUCAGUGACUGGCAAAUGCUGCUGGCAUUCGAGCCCCUGGACACAGUGGAAUGCUGGUUUUGGUGCUGUCAGACAAGCACAGUCUGGUGGGACUGCAUUGUUAUGCAGGUGUGGCAAGAUCAGCAAUGGCUGCAAAACUUUCACAUGCAUAAGGCCUCUUACAGGGAAGUUUGCGAAUUGCUUUCCCCUGCUCUGAAGUGCAAGAAUACCAGAAUGAGACCUGUUCUAACAGUGGAGAAGCAAGUGGCAAUUGCCCUCUGGAAGCUUACAACUCUAGGCAGCUACCAGUUAGCUGGGAAUCAAUUCAAAGUGGGGAAAUCUACAGUGGGGCUGUUGUGAUCCAAGUAGCCAAACCAAUCAAUAUCCUUCUGCUACAGGAGGUAGUAACUCUGGGAAACGUGGAGGGCUUUGCCACACUGGAGUUCCCUACAUGUGGUGGGGUGAAAGAUGGAACGCACAUCCCUAUCUUGGCACCUGCUCACCAUGCAAAGGAGUACAUAAACUGCAAGGAGAUACUUCUAAAUAGUGUUGCAGGGGCUGGUGGAUCAGAAGGCCCGUUUCAUUGGCAUCAAUGUGAGAUGAUCAGGAAACAUGUAUGGUGCAUUUAUCUUUAGGAACUCUUGCCUCUUUGGCAAGCUGCAAGCUGGAACUUUUUCCCCCCCACUUGAAAAUUACAGACGGAGAUGAUCAAAUGCCAAAAGUGAUCCUUGGUAACCCAGCCUACCCCCCUUGUUCCCGUGACUCAUGAAACUAUUCAGAGGCAGCCUGGACCACAGAAAGGAGCAGUUCCACUACAAGCUGAGCAAGUGCAGAAUGGUGGUAGAAUGUGCUCUUGGGCAUUUAAAGGGAAUGUUCGGCAGUCUACUAACUAGGCUGCCUUGCAGUGGAGGAUGGAAUGCUCUGAUGUCUCCAUGGCAUACCUCACAGCACUGCUGAGGCUUAUCCGUUAAUGUCUGUAAAGUGCUUUGAGUCCUCAUAUGAAAGAUGCUAGAGUAUGUAUUAUUGCUAUUGGAACUCCAGUAGUGAUGGCCUUAAUUUUGUUCUAGGUCUGGGAUUAGCAACCUACAGCAUGUGUGUCACUUAUGGAAUGCAAGCUGAUUUUCACUGGCACGAGGGAGGGAGCUCAGCACUGCUGCUCUUCCCUUGCGCAGCCACUGGAGAAUGCCCUCUCUCCUCCCUGCAGCAGGUUAGGCUGCAGUGGGAGGAGGUAGUGCUGGGGCUGAUUUUCCUCAGCAGCACCUUGGCUGGGACUGGAGGCGCUUCUGCCAUGGCCACAUGGUCCAGGGCCAGCCCAGAAUUGCAUGGAGGUGGGGUCUCUGGAGUCAGCCCUGGACCAUGUGGCCAUGGUAGCGGGGCCCUGGCCUAUGUGGGCCCUGGCAGUAGCAGUGGGGCCUUCCUUCAGGGCAGCCCGGGACAGUGUGGUCAUCGCUGCAAGGGGGUGCGAAGCCACGUAAGGUUUCCUCUCAUGCCCAGAUCACCCCACACCUCAGUCCCCUCACUCACUUUCCCUCAUAAAGAUCCCAUACUCCCAGCUUGGUCUGACACCCUUCUUUGUUGCCGCACCUUCCCCCUGGCCUUGCCUAACACCCCCAUCCUGCUCCUGCAUCCACCAUUGCUGCUGCAAUCUUUCCUGGCCACACACGACACCAUCUCUUGCUCCUGCUCGUCCACCUGUUCAGACACCCUACUCCCACCCAGACCUAUCAACCUCUCCCCCUUCUGCACCCUCUCUCCCAGAUCCUACACCCCAUCUCUAUCCUACUUGCUGGCA